rnacentral:rRNA from 1 species
AACGAACGCUGGCGGCAUGCCUAACACAUGCAAGUCGAACGAGACCUUCGGGUCUAGUGGCGCACGGGUGCGUAACACGUGGGAAUCUGCCCUUCGGUUCGGAAUAACAGUUAGAAAUGACUGCUAAUACCGGAUAAUGACGUAAGUCCAAAGAUUUAUCGCCGAAGGAUGAGCCCGCGUAGGAUUAGGUAGUUGGUGGGGUAAUGGCCCACCAAGCCGACGAUCCUUAGCUGGUCUGAGAGGAUGAUCAGCCACACUGGGACUGAGACACGGCCCAGACUCCUACGGGAGGCAGCAGUGGGGAAUAUUGGACAAUGGGCGAAAGCCUGAUCCAGCAAUGCCGCGUGAGUGAUGAAGGCCUUCGGGUUGUAAAGCUCUUUUACCAGGGAUGAUAAUGACAGUACCUGGAGAAUAAGCUCCGGCUAACUCCGUG